rnacentral:rRNA from 1 species
CUACGGGUGGCUCCAGUGGGGAAUAUUGCACAAUGGAGGAAACUCUGAUGCAGCAACGCCGCGUGGAGGAUGACACUUUUCGGAGCGUAAACUCCUUUUAUAUAGGAAGAAGAUGACGGUACUAUAUGAAUAAGCGCCGGCUAACUCCGUGCCAGCGCCGCGGUAAUACGGAGGGCGCAAGCGUUACUCGGAAUCACUGGGCGUAAAGAGCGUGUAGGCGGAUUAAAAAGUCAGAAGUGAAAUCCUAUAGCUUAACUAUAGAACUGCUUCUGAAACUCUUAAUCUAGAAUAUGGGAGAGGUAGAUGGAAUUUCUGGUGUAGGGGUAAAAUCCGUAGAGAUCAGAAGGAAUACCGAUUGCGAAGGCGAUCUACUAGAACAUUACUGACGCUGAGACGCGAAAGCGUGGGGAGCAAACAGGAUUAGAUACCCCCGUAGUC